UAAAAAAUCUAAAUACUGGCUUGCAUUUUCGGCUACUGUCUCGCCACUCGGUUUUAGCACUUACUAUGUAUCUAAAGCUAAACAAGCAGCUACUAUUUCAGAGACAAAUACACCUUACAAAUCAAGGAAUCAGAAGGAUACAAUUGAAGUUGGUCCAGGAAACUUGAAACUGAUUUAUUCCGAGAAGGAAGAAAAA